rnacentral:rRNA from 1 species
ACAUACGACCAUAGGCAGUAGAGAAUUCGGGAUCCCGUCCGCUCUCCCUUAGACAAGCUACUGACCGCCGGACUAGUACUCAGGUCGGUGACGACUGGGGAAUCCCCGGUGUUGUAUGUC